rnacentral:rRNA from 1 species
CCUACGGGAGGCAGCAGUGAGGAAUAUUGGUCAUUGGACGAGAGUCUGAACCAGCCAAGUAGCGUGAAGGAUGACUGCCCUAUGGGUUGUAAACUUCUUUUAUAUGGGAAUAAAACGUUCCACGUGUGGGAUUUUGUAUGUACCAUAUGAAUAAGGAUCGGCUAACUCCGAGCCAGCAGCCGCGGUAAUACGGAGGAUCCGAGCGUUAUCCGGAUUUAUUGGGUUUAAAGGGAGCGUAGGUGGAUUGUUAAGUCAGUUGUGAAAGUUUGCGGAUCAAGCGUAAAAUUGCAGUUGAAACUGGCAGUCUUGAGUACAGUAGAGGUGGGCGGAAUUCGUGGUGUAGCGGUGAAAUGCUUAGAUAUCACGAAGAACUCCGAUUGCGAAGGCAGUUCACUGGACUGCAACUGACACUGAGGCUCGAAAGUGUGGGUAUCAAACAGGAUUAGAUACCCGAGUAGUC